GGGGCGUUUAUAAGUUUCCUGAAUUGACGAAACGUGAUGUACGCAUUUGGUCAGCCUGAGCUGGGUUAUGUUGACGUGGAAGUGAAGGUUAAGAAGGUUUGGUGAACCCAAAACUAGCCUGGUCCAAGUCCAACUCACAUUCUGGGUUCGAACUGGCCAAAUGAAUGUUAACUUGGGUUAGGCAUGAGAUGAAAAAAAGAUCAAGCCAGUUUUAAAUGGGCUCAGCCUUGGGUU
rnacentral:lncRNA from 1 species